rnacentral:tRNA from 1 species
GCUCUGUAGUUGAAAUAUUAUACAACAAUAAAUUGCAAGUUUAAAAGUAUGGUUAGAUUCCAUUAGGGCAUGGU